GAGAAUGGAGAAAGCCGGGAGGAGAAGCCGGAACCAAGGCGGAGAGCAGGGGUGCGCAUGCGUAGGGAGGGCACGCGUGUCCCCGCCCCCUUCCCCAGAGGGGCGGAACGGAGGCCUUAAGUGACGUUAGUCAUUGUGCUAGAGGUAACUAGGGACCGCGGCGAAGGGGCGGGCUCGAGCUGACGAACAGGAUACGUCGAAGCUGCAGCACUCCACAGACAGAAUUCAAGGCCAGCCUGAUGUAUGUAACAAGUUCCAGGCCAGCAAGAGUUACAUGAUGAGACCCUACCCAGUGAUUGUAAGAAUUCCAAAAUUCAGGAUAACAAUGCUGGUCUCAGCAUGUAGCCCUGCCUGGAAAUCCUGCCUCAGAGUCUCAAGUGCUGGGUGACAGGUUUGAGUCACCGUAAGUGCUGAUGUAUCUAUCCCCAGAAACAAAAAGGAGGCCCCGUCCCAUAGCUAAUAUCCGCAGAGAUGUCUGCACCUCACUUUGGCAAACACAGCCACUCCAACCCAGCAAUGCCACUUCCAGGAAUUGAUCCUCACAAACAGAGUAGCUCUGACAUAGGAGUUAUUUAUUGCAGUGUGGUUUGUGAUAUUAAUGUAGAAAUACAUUCCAUCAAUAAAGAUCUUUCAGUUAACAUUAGUCACCUAAACACAUAAAACCCUACACUAGCUAUACCAAAAAAACAACAACAAAACAACAAAAAAAAAACCAUCCAGGUUGAUAAAGAUCUCCAGAAUGUAUUUUCAAAAAGCCAGAGGGAUAUAUAGAAUGUUUCCAUGUGAAUAAAAAUAUGUCAAAUUCUUUAAAUAUCAUAAAUACUUCUAGAAGGGACUGGAGGACAAAUGAGAAGGCAGGGUUUAUUUUUGAGGCAGAGUCUUGCCUACAUAUAACCUUGGCUGGCCUGGAAUUCACUCUGUAGACCAGGCUGGACUGUAAUUCACAGGCAGUCCUGCCUCCGCCUCCUGAGUACUGGGAUCACAGGCAUUCACCAUAGCCUAGCCUAGAGUCUAUUUUGUAUCUGAAAAAGGCUAUAAACAAAUACAUAAAUAAAAUUAUGUCUUUUAGUGCACAGUC
rnacentral:lncRNA from 1 species